GUCUCGUUAGCUCAGGUGGUAGAGCAACUGACUUUUAAUCAGUGGGUCGUAGGUUCGAGUCCUACACGAGACA
rfam:Erysipelothrix rhusiopathiae str. Fujisawa DNA, complete genome.